rnacentral:rRNA from 1 species
GCUACAGGCUUAACACAUGCAAGUCGAGGGGAAACGACAUCGAAAGCUUGCUUUUGAUGGGCGUCGACCGGCGCACGGGUGAGUAACGCGUAUCCAACCUGCCCACCACUUGGGGAUAACCUUGCGAAAGUAAGACUAAUACCCAAUGACGUCUCUAGAAGACAUCUGAAAGAGAUUAAAGAUUUAUCGGUGAUGGAUGGGGAUGCGUCUGAUUAGCUUGUUGGCGGGGUAACGGCCCACCAAGGCGACGAUCAGUAGGGGUUCUGAGAGGAAGGUCCCCCACAUUGGAACUGAGACACGGUCCAAACUCCUACGGGAGGCAGCAGUGAGGAAUAUUGGUCAAUGGACGAGAGUCUGAACCAGCCAAGUAGCGUGCAGGAUGACGGCCCUAUGGGUUGUAAACUGCUUUUAUAAGGGAAUAAAGUGAGUCUCGUGAGACUUUUUGCAUGUACCUUAUGAAUAAGGACCGGCUAAUUCCGUGCCAGCAGCCGCGGUAAUACGGAAGGUCCGGGCGUUAUCCGGAUUUAUUGGGUUUAAAGGGAGCGUAGGCCGGAGAUUAAGCGUGUUGUGAAAUGUAGACGCUCAACGUCUGCACUGCAGCGCGAACUGGUUUCCUUGAGUACGCACAAAGUGGGCGGAAUUCGUGGUGUAGCGGUGAAAUGCUUAGAUAUCACGAAGAACUCCGAUUGCGAAGGCAGCUCACUGGAGCGCAACUGACGCUGAAGCUCGAAAGUGCGGGUAUCGAACAGGAUUAGAUACCCUGGUAGUCCGCACGGUAAGCGAUGGAUGCCCGCUGUUGGUCAGAAUAGGUCAGCGGCCAAGCGAAAGCAUUAAGCAUCCCACCUGGGGAGUACGCCGGCAACGGUGAAACUCAAAGGAAUUGACGGGGGCCCGCACAAGCGGAGGAACAUGUGGUUUAAUUCGAUGAUACGCGAGGAACCUUACCCGGGCUUGAAUUGCAGAGGAAGGAUUUGGAGACAAUGACGCCCUUCGGGGCCUCUGUGAAGGUGCUGCAUGGUUGUCGUCAGCUCGUGCCGUGAGGUGUCGGCUUAAGUGCCAUAACGAGCGCAACCCCUCUCCUUAGUUGCCAUCAGGUCAAGCUGGGCACUCUGGGGACACUGCCACCGUAAGGUGUGAGGAAGGUGGGGAUG